CGGACGGGUGAGUAAUGUCUGGGAAACUGCCUGAUGGAGGGGGAUAACUACUGGAAACGGUAGCUAAUACCGCAUAAUGUCGCAAGACCAAAGAGGGGGACCUUCGGGCCUCUUGCCAUCGGAUGUGCCCAGAUGGGAUUAGCUAGUAGGUGGGGUAACGGCUCACCUAGGCGACGAUCCCUAGCUGGUCUGAGAGGAUGACCAGCCACGCUGGAACUGAGACACGGUCCAGACUCCUACGGGAGGCAGCAUG
rnacentral:rRNA from 1 species